rnacentral:lncRNA from 1 species
UAGGGAGUGGGAAAGACUAGUAGGAAUUAGUCAGGCGUUUUAUGAAGACAUAAACUUAGGUAGGGUUCGCUCUUUUUAGACUGAAAUCUUAACUUUGAUCUUUGUUCAAGCCUUCACUGUGGGAUGAGAGCCUGAUGUUUGGAUUACUUGUGACUAAUGAAUCUCAUUUUUUGUAGUUUUGAUUAGCACACUGACACUCAUAUGGUGCAUCACAAAGAAGCUUUAGCAUUUUCUGAUUGGAUAACUAUGUAUUUAUUACAAUUGGGUAGACAAAUCUGUGGCAUCUAAAGCAUUGUCUCAAAUUCAUGUUAGUAUUACUUUCUGGCAAGAGAAUUGAAUUCUUUCAGG